UUCCCUUUGACCAAGACAGCGGCUAGCAGAAACGUGUGUUAGCAGACCGUCGUAGUUGUGUUGAGAAGGAGGUAAAAUGUGUAAAGUCCAGUGCUGAGAGCGUUGGUGGAGCAGCGACUAACUGCGGCUGCUGAAGAGAUAUUUGGGCUGUUUGAAAGAACGAUAGCAGAGUACGAGGAGGAACUUUGUCGUUCAAAAGAGGAGAACGUGCGCCAACGGGCACAGCUGGACGCUAUUUUCAAACCUCAGCUCCGGUUACACAGAGCAGACUUCUCAUAGCGGCUCUCCACUUCACUAACAAUGGAGACAGAGACGUAACCCGAACAAUCAGUGGUGAGGCAGUCCGUUACCCCCGGUUACGUAAGGGUUCGACCCAUAAAAGAAAACAUCAUACGAUGCAUCGGCCCUGAUGGUCUCACUGAGAGAGGGAUACAUAAGGUCACCACAGGAAAUCAAAGAAGACAGCCCCAUCCUGUCCUCGGCUGGACCUGCCCCUCUUUCCACGCAUCACAAGGUCGCCAAGGAUGAGAUGUUCAGCAGUUGUUGAUGGUUAAAGAAGAGGUUCCCCCUGAGCAGCAGGAGUGUAGCUCCAGUUUGGACCAUCAGGAGCCAGAGUCCCCCUCACACAUUAGAGAGGAACAGGAGGAACUGUGGAGCAGUCAGGAGGGAGAGCAGCUUCAAGGGCUGGAGGAGGCUUAUUUCCCCAAGUUCCCAUUCACUCCUGUCCCUGUGAAGAGUGAAGAUGAUGAAGAGGAAGCUCAGUCCUCACAGCUUCAUCAAAGACAAACUCAACACAUGGAAACCGAAGCUGAUGGAGAGGACGGUGGAGGACCAGACCGA